rnacentral:lncRNA from 1 species
UCUGGUAUGAGCUGGGAAAAGCAUGACUGUACCAAUAGGUGUUACAUCUGGAGUUCUGGUAUUGAUAAAAUUAAGAAAGAUUAGCCAUUGCAGUAGUUUGGUGACCUGGUCCUACAAGAUGUCACCUGUGGAAAAAAGCCCGACAAUAAUGAAUUUGUCCUCUUUUCGCCAAAUAAGAAUUAUUCUGCCGAAAGGUAUCAAUUGAUGUUCGAAAGAAACAUAAAAACUUACAAUGAUGAGCGAAACUUAGUUACUCAAAAAUGGGAAAACAUGGCGAAACAAAAGGAAAUUAGGAGGGAAAAAAAUAUCUUGGAGGGUGGCUUAAAUCACACCAACCAAGUAAUUAAAGAAUAGCUCUUCCUUUACUCUUCUCAUGGAAAGGAACAAGCAUUGUCCUUUCCUUCAUACCGUACUACUGCAUGAUGCAUGAUAUCCUACAACUUUAAGAAGAAACAAAGACAAAGAAUCAAAUGCAGUGUCAUGAUAAAACAAGCACAAAUUAGACUUAGGUGCAGAAAGGGGUAACUGAGAUUGUGAGAACAAAUUUAACUACUGAGAUAUAGUAAGAUUGUUAUAUCCACGACUUCCCUAAGGAUCUGUAACUUGUGGAAUUGGUUUCGCGAAAUCAUUUCAAUGCUCACAUUGCAAACAAUCCACUUGCAUGUAGUUUAAUAGGUUCAUAACAUAUCCAACAAGGAUGGCAGCAACUCUAACUAUUAUAGAAGUUCAAUUUAUUUCAAAAAUAUCUUUGACAGAUGGAAGGACUGUUUUCAUGAUGUAAAACCAGUGCUUUCCAAGCGCAUUAGAUAGCUCAGGUCAUGUUAUUACAUUUAAAGAUAUUAUUAUUGAAGCCAGGGCUCAAGUACCAAUACUAGUCAUUCUAGUACCUUACCAUACUCUAGAAUCAUACCAGUCUGUUAUGGCAUAUACUAGCAUGCUACAAUGCCAUCGCGAUGCAUGGUACACCUAAGGAUGAUGACACAAUUGAAGUGCAUACAAUGUGUUGAUACAAUAUCAUCCCAAAAGGAGUACCAGUACUCGUGUAUGGUAGCAAGGAGUUCUAUCAAUUAGAGCAAAUUGUAUUUUCUAUCAGAAAGUCCCAUAAAUAAUAAGUGCUACAUAUUCUACGAACCAUAGAUGGUUAAUCAACCAUUACUAGCAAAUACACUGUUAACAAACCUCAAAGAUGAGCUAAACAAUCAACCAGCUCCUCUCUACAUGUACACAGUAUUUUUAGAAUUGAAAAAGAAAUUAAGAAUGAUAACCACGAAUUCGACCACACUGAAUUAAUACCUGCUCAAUUUAACUGCACGAAAUUAAUACUGCCACUCGAAUGUUUGAGAAUGACUCAUUUUUUGAUAGCUGCACAACCAUAAAUCUACACACGCAUGAACCAACGUUCAUGAUUCUCGAACCUUGACAUUCAAUAAUAAAUGCAUCAUCAAGAAAUGUCUAUAAAAAUCAAUUGAGGGUUUGAAAGCACAACCAAGGACCAGAGGCCUUGGCACCAGCCAUUAUACCUAGAAGCUGGAUGCCCAAAUGUCAUUCAUACUUGGGCACCAACACACCUAGAGCACACCAAAGAGGGUUCAAUCAAGGUUCUCAAAGCUAUCAUCAUCAUCAUUAUCAAGCUGUUGUUCCAUGCCAACCAUACCUAAAGAACCCAUCCCACCAUUGAACGGGUCUUAAGAGCUCAGCAUGCCAUUUUGGAGCUUUGAGAUGUACAUAGUGUUGGUCAUUUAACUCAAAGCCACAGACCAAGCUUCAAUGGCAGAAUCAACCUUGUGCCCCUUUUACACAGCAAAGAAGGUCUUCUAGAGGAAGAGCAGAGAGAAAGAGAAGGAAAGAAAGGAGACCAACAGCUAGACGAGGUAAACAGGUUGCUUAAAGAAUUUCCUCCCUGGAUGGCAUAAACCUCUACAUUUUAUAUAUCCCUUCCACAUAAGGUUUUUAUCUCAAAAACUUAGUUUGCAUUAAUAUUGCGCAAUCAACAAUAUGAUAUACCUACAAAUAUUAGCCCAUGUUUUCUCAAUCUAUAUUAUUUGUGAUGUUGUGAUAUAUUGGGAUGAACAUGUCACUCAAGAUUUCUAAAUUAAUUAUUAGGUAUUUCUAUCUAAUAUUUUGAGAACUUCCUAGGUCUAUCUCUCUUCUACAAGGAUCUCUUCCUUGAUCAUUUAAUUAAGAAGUUUUUGAUUUUUUUUUUUUUAAGAAUCUCAAACAAGAUAAAUAGAUAUCUUGAUUCAUCUCAAUAGGCAAUCCACCAAGAUAAUCAUCAAAUUCCACAUCUUCUCAAUGUUCUUGUGAUCAUCACCUCACACUUUUCUUGUGGUCUUUCUUCUAGAGAUUUAGGUAUUGGAGAUUCAACUUCUAUGCAACAACUACAUUAAUUUUCAUAAAUUUGUAUAGUUGUCUCUAUUCAAUAAUUCUUCUACAGAGGAAGUGACGCUCAAUUCCCCUAAAGUUAAUGAGCAGAGCAAAGAGCAGUGAUUUACAAUUCAGGAUCUUUUCCCAACUCUUAGGCACAUAACCAACCCCCCGCCUCUUCCAAAAAAAAAAAAGAAAGAAAAGAAAAGAAAAAAAGAGGGUUUUGAACUAAAAGCGGAUGGUAAAUCUAUUUGUGGAUUUAAGAGGAUGGUAGAUAACUAUCCACAAAAAAAAUUAAAAAACAAACAAAAAAAAAAAUCUUGUUGCCCUAAUGAUGUCUUGUUUACUAAUUUAUACAAUAACAAUAUAUGAGAGGCCUGACAAAAUCUGCUAAGUUAUUAUAAUAUCACUUCGACAAUAUGAACACGUGAUUACCUUAGAAAGGUUUAACUUUCGUUAGUUGUUGUACUUGUCAUGAUGGUACACGUACAUUAACAUAAGAAGUAGUUCAUAUCCUUGCAAGCAAAUGAGCUGCAGAACUGAUCGAAGAAUUUUUGUUUGGAUUGGUCAAGCAAUUUAAAUUAUAAAAUCAAAUCAGAAAAUAUUACUAAGUAACUUGAAUAAAUUAAAAUAAAGCAACUAUUAGAUCAAAUACUUGUCAAUGAAAUAUUAAAAUCUUUUAGAUUAAUUAUAUAGAUAUUUAGUUUUUAAACAGUUAUUCAUAUUGGCUGCCUCAAACUGAAUAAUUCUAUUACCACCACUGAGGACCAUAAAAUCCAACAUCAAACACCUUGCUUUCACUUCGUUCUGGUUUCAAGGUCUUAGAUCAUAUUGGUGAAGCAGUUGUACCAAUUAAUAUUCUAUGCAUCUUUUAUAUGAAAGUUCUACAGGCCAACAAUUUCACAAACUCCAUGAAGCAUAAACAAUUGGGUCAACUCUUAAAAAAUCUUUAGAAAGAUUUGCUAAACCAUCACCACCUCCUUUCCACAAUAUAAACACCAUAUCUACAAUUUCACAAGCAUAUUAAAUAUCAGCAUCCAGGAGAUUCUACCAUAUCCAAUUUAACCGCGCAUCAUUAUCACCACCACCACUGGAAUGUUCGAGAAUGACUCACUUUUGGUAGCUGCAACGCGUGACCAUCUCAAUCCUUCGUAUUGAAUGCAUGCAAGGACGCGUCGAUGUCUCGAACCAUCCACCAUCGAAUGCAUCAUUCAAGAAAUUGCCUAUAAAAGCAAGCCAGGGACUCGGAAGCUCACCGCAAGAACCGAAAGCCUCGAUUCGAGCCCGAAACCUACCCCGAUGCCAUUCUCGUCCGGGCACCGGCACGCCCGGAGCCCGCCGGAGAGGGUGCGACCGAGGCCUUGCGCGCCGUCGACGUCCAGUACCACCCAUACCUUAAGAUACCACCAUGACAGAGCAUCCUCAGCCUAGCCUUUCUCGUCGGGGAAACGGGAUGGAGGUGGUGAAGAGGGGGAAGGAGAGGGGAAAAGGCAGGUGGAAGCAGGAGAGGGCAGCCGUGCGUGGCGGAGGAGAAGGUAGGAGAGAACCGAAGAACAGAAGCUGGUUGGGAGGGCAAAAACCUGCGGAAUCCAUAGAGACGAGGGAACCGGACGAAAGAUUCAUCUUUUUGUAUCUUUUAUUUAUUUUAUUUUAUGUUAUGUUUUUUCUAUCAUUCGGAAAAGGCAAUUGAACAAUAGAAGCAGAAUUAAUAUAAAAUAUUUGUUGCCGAUACCUUGCCGGUCUUAUAAAAUAUUUGACGCUGCUGCAAGUAUUUGAAUCCUUCCAGUGUUGUUACAAGGAUGUCUGAGAUCAGUCUUCUUAUGCUUUCCUUGACAAAUAAAGGUUAAGGAUAUGGGUCCUU